rnacentral:rRNA from 1 species
ACUCCUACGGGAGGGCAGCAGUGGGGAAUAUUGCCACAAUGGGCGCAAGCCUGAUGCAGCCAUGCCGCGUGUGUGAAGGAAGGCCUUCGGGUUGUAAAGCACUUUCAGUUGUGAGGAAAGGUUUAGUCGCUAAUAUCGGCUAGCUGUGACGUUAGCAACAGAAGAAGCACCGGCUAACUCCGUGCCAGCAGCCGCGGUAAUACGGAGGGUGCGAGCGUU